rnacentral:rRNA from 1 species
ACACAUGCAAGUCGAGGGGUAACAGGGUUUAGUUUACUAGAUUGCUGACGACCGGCGCACGGGUGAGUAACGCGUAUACAAUUUGCCUUUUACUGGAGGAUAGCCAAGAGAAAUUUUGAUUAAUACUCCAUAGUAUUAUUAGAUCACCUGAUUUGAUAAUUAAAGUUCCGGCGGUAAAAGAUGAGUAUGCGUCCUAUUAGCUAGAUGGUAAGGUAACGGCUUACCAUGGCGACGAUAGGUAGGGGUCCUGAGAGGGAGGUCCCCCACACUGGUACUGAGACACGGACCAGACUCCUACGGGAGGCAGCAGUGAGGAAUAUUGGGCAAUGGAGGCAACUCUGACCCAGCCAUGCCGCGUGCAGGAAGACGGCCCUAUGGGUUGUAAACUGCUUUUAUACAGGAAGAAACUUACCCACGUGUGGGUAACUGACGGUACUGUAAGAAUAAGGACCGGCUAACUCCGUGCCAGCAGCCGCGGUAAUACGGAGGGUCCAAGCGUUAUCCGGAAUCAUUGGGUUUAAGGGGUCCGUAGGCGGGCAAUUAAGUCAGAGGUGAAAUCCCACAGCUCAACUGUGGAACUGCCUUUGAUACUGGUUGUCUUGAGUUAUAGUGAAGUAGAUAGAAUAUGUAGUGUAGCGGUGAAAUGCAUAGAUAUUACAUAGAAUACCGAUUGCGAAGGCAGUCUACUAACUGUACACUGACGCUAAUGGACGAAAGCGUGGGGAGCGAACAGGAUUAGAUACCCUGGUAGUCCACGCCGUAAACGAUGGUCACUAGUUGUUGGGGUCUUGUACCUCAGUGAUUAAGAGAAAUUGAUAAGUGACCCACCCGGGGAGUACGAUCGCAAGAUUGAAACUCAAAGGAAUUGACGGGGGCCCGCACAAGCGGUGGAGCAUGUGGUUUAAUUCGAUGAUACGCGAGGAACCUUACCAGGGCUUAAAUGUAAGUUGCAUGAUUUAGAGAUAGAUCUUUCUUCGGACUACUUACAAGGUGCUGCAUGGUUGUCGUCAGCUCGUGCCGGGAGGUGUCAGGGUUAAGUCCUAUAACGAGCGCAACCCCUACCGUUUAGUUUGCCAGCAUGUUAUGAUGGGG